rnacentral:rRNA from 1 species
GACGAACGCUGGCGGCGUGCUUAACACAUGCAAGUCGAACGGAAAGGCCCUUCGGGGUACUCGAGUGGCGAACGGGUGAGUAACACGUGGGUGAUCUGCCCUGCACUUUGGGAUAAGCCUGGGCAACUGGGUCUAAUACCGAAUAGGACCAAGCGCUUCAGGGUGUGUGGUGGAAAGCUUUUGCGGUGUGGGUUGGGCCCGCGGCCUAUCAGCUUGUUGGUGGGGUAAUGGCCUACCAAGGCGACGACGGGUAGCCGGCCUGAGAGGGUGAGCGGCCACACUGGACCUGGGAUGCGGCCCAGACUCCAACGGGAGGCAGCGGAGGAGAAUAGUACACAAGGGGCUGAAGCCUAAUGCAGCGACGCCGCGUGGGGGAUGACGGCCAUCGGUUUGUAUACCUAUUUCAUUAGGGACGAAACGCUAGUGACGGUACCUAUAGAAGAAGCACCGGCCAACUACGUG